rnacentral:rRNA from 1 species
UACGUAGGGGGCAAGCGUUGUCCGGAUUUAUUGGGCGUAAAGAGCGUGUAGGCGGCCAUGCAGGUCCGUUGUGAAAACUCGAGGCUCAACCUCGAGACGUCGGUGGAAACCGCAUGGCUAGAGUCCGGAAGAGGAGAAUGGAAUUCCUGGUGUAGCGGUGAAAUGCGCAGAUAUCAGGAAGAACACCCGUGGCGAAGGCGGUUCUCUGGGACGGUACUGACGCUGAGACGCGAAAGCGUGGGGAGCGAACAGG